GAUCAUGGCUCAAGAACGAACGCUGGCGGCAGGCCUAACACAUGCAAGUCGAACGCUCGUAGCAAUACGGGAGUGGCAGACGGGUGCGUAACGCGUGGGAACAUACCCUUUGGUUCGGAAUAACUCAGGGAAACUUGAGCUAAUACCGGAUACGCCCGAGAGGGGAAAGAUUUAUUGCCGAAGGAUUGGCCCGCGUCUGAUUAGCUAGUUGGUGAGGUAACGGCUCACCAAGGCGACGAUCAGUAGCUGGUCUGAGAGGAUGAUCAGCCACACUGGGACUGAGACACGGCCCAGACUCCUACGGGAGGCAGCAGUGGGGAAUAUUGGACAAUGGGCGCAAGCCUGAUCCAGCCAUGCCGCGUGAGUGAUGACGGCCUUAGGGUUGUAAAGCUCUUUUACCCGGGAAGAUAAUGACGGUACCGGGAGAAUAAGCCCCGGCUAACUUCGUG
rnacentral:rRNA from 1 species